AUGGGCUGCCUGGACAGGCAGGGGGUGCUUGGGUGUUCCAUCCCUGGAAACAUCAGCGCCAGGCUGGACGGGGCUCUGAGCAACCUGGUUUGGUACAGGUAUCCCUGCUCACUGCGGGGGCUGGGCCAGGGGACCUUUAAAGGUCCCUUCCCACCCAAACCAUCCUGCGAGCCUGGCCAGGCUGCUGUCAGCGCCUUCAUCCCACUGUAUACCAGGAACGGGCAGCUCCCAUCGGGCGCCUGCCUGUGCGUGUGCGUGUACACGCGAGUGUGUGUGUGCACAUGUGCGCAGGCUGUGCUGCCUGGGCUGUUCCUCGGGGUGGGGGUGCCCCCGAGUGCUGGCCCGAUGGACCCGGGUGACACCGCUGCUGGCAGUGCCGGGCUACGGCAGGUAGGGGUGCUGUUCCAGCAGCUCUGCAGUGAUGGGAAGGGAUGGCGCCGCAGUCCCGCAAGAGCUGUGUCCUUGGGCUGGGGCCAGCCCCACUUCCAGGGAGAUCCCAGGAGAGGUGUUGCCUCCCGACCCAGCCGUCCUGGGGGGGGGGGGGGUCUGUUUUCGUGGUUAUCGGGGUGCUGCUGGCCAGAGCAUGUGGCUCUGUGGGAGUUGGGGGUGACCAGGGCACAGGGCUGCAGACUCAGCUCUGCAGCACAGGCAGUACCCAGCUCUGGGACACACCUGGCUGGCACAGGUGCUGUGGGACGUGCCCUGGUGCGGGCAGACAUCGUGUGCUUGCACGGGGCUCCUGGGCACCGGCAGGCAUCGUCCCUCCUUAGGGCUGUUGGGCGACAGGGGUUGUGGGACAUGGGGCAGUGCUGGGGGUUGCCCCUCAGCACCAGGGGACACAGGACAUUUCCACAGGGACACCCCAUGGGCUGGGGCUGGCUUGGGGUCCCUGAAGGGUCCCCAUCGUUAUGUGGCAUGCAUAGGGCCACCCUUGCUGGGCAAGGUCUGGGGGCCAGCCUGGCCCCAGUGGGGUGUUGGAGGGUCCACAGUAGGGUGUUGCCACAGCAACGUUGA
rnacentral:lncRNA from 1 species